AGAAACUUAGGUUAAAUAAAACCAAGGGCCUUCAAAGCCCUAAAUAAGANACUACCACACUCCUAGUUUCUG
rnacentral:tRNA from 1 species